UAAUUGAGAAUCAUUUUUCUUUUUAUAGGUCUCACAAUUUUGUAUACGAAAAUUGAGAUCUGUUUUGUACAGCUGAUUAGUUAUUAGAAGUUAAGUGAGGCUGAGCACCAAAAAAUUUGGUGCUUUUUUACUCAAAAAGACUACUUCAAAGAGUAGAGACACAACAUUAAUUGUUUUCUCUUGCUACAAAUUUAUCCGAAAGGAAUUUUUCUUGAAUGGAUGAACAGUUUAGCUUAUAUAAACGGCCACGAUAUAACUUGAAUUAUUGAUAUGUGGGAUAGAAGUUAGAAAUUUUGCUCUUUGAAUAUUUGAGAGGUGCGAGUAGAGGAGGUUGUAAAAGAAUUUAAUUGUUUUUUGAGAGUGUGAGUGACGGGGUUUACUAAUACGUAUACCAAAAGUUGUGGCAGGAUAAUUGAGAUUUCUACAUAUUUAGCCGUUCGACGCCUAAUAGGAAGAGCUUCCCUCUAGUGGGCUCUAUGCCGUGUACCGAAUGUUUAUACUUAAAAAAAGAAUAUAAACAAUUCCUAACAGCAACCCUAAGACCUUCUUCAAGAUCCUUCGCCCAAAAAUCCAUUUUUUACCCAUUUUCCCCAAAAUAAGUUCCAUGCUCUUGCUUUCCCAAGCCAAGGAUCUAUCGGAAACAGCGUUUCUAUCAUCACAGCUAGGGGAGUGCCGCCGUGUUGUUCGACGAAAUUCCUGUGAGGAACCCUAAUAUGUGCUAAUGCACUCUUGUCACUGCUCUGAAAUUCUUAACACUGCCAAACCAUGUGUAAGGGUACAAUUAAAUCAACUCCCCGUCUAAAAGAAUUGCUAUUAUCCGGACCAAUAGAUUAUUGACUUUCUGUUUUCUCAUUUUGAAUCAGACUUCCUUUUCCCCGAGCUUAUACAAAAUGUAAGACAAUACCAAGGGAAAAGACAUCGCCAUUCAUUUCCAUGCUGAUGUUCAUUAUCAGCCAGUGCAUCUUGUGAGUUGCUCUUCGGAUUUACAGCUCUGCCUUCUGAUACCAUUUACCGAGCACAGAGUUUAAGAAGAAAUAAAGACUUUUGAAACUUGAGUUCUAAAAUAAGCCAUAGAUAUUUCUGUGGUUAUAAUCAACAACAACACUUUUAAAACAAGCCAAGUAAAAUCCCACAAGUGGGUCUGGAGAGGAUAAAGUGUACGCAGACCUUACCCCUACCUAAUGAAAGUAGAUAGGUUGUUUCCGAAGACCCUCGGCUCAAAAGGUUAGUGGUUAUAAUCUAUUUCUUUAAAGGUAAAAUGAGAAGUUUAAGUUAAUUUUAUAUUCACCGGAAUUAUAUUCAUAUAUUUCUUCCACUUAACUGGAAUAUAUUGCAAAAUUAACUUUUAUACUUGUUCAAACUCCGUUUGCUUGGAUACUAAGGUAGGAAAUAUACUUCUUUUAUGCAAAUUGAAUGUUCGGAAAGCAAUAUAAUACGAUGUUAUGAAUGAUAAUAGUGACAUAGAGGACAACAGGGAUGACACGUUGGAUAAGAAUAAUCCUACUCAGCCUAGAAAGAGUACUCGUGUGAAAAUGCCAUCUAGAAGAUUAAUUGAUUUUGUGGUGGGCCCAGGCUAACAGAACGGGUUGAGGGAGUGCGUGCUAUGCGACGUUUGGAGCAUAAGGAAUCUGUUAUAAGUCACUGUUGCUGGGCAUAACAGUUUUAGGCUAGUGUUGCAUUGUAUUUCUGCUUCUCAUCUAUUCCUAUGCUUUUCUCCUAUCUCCUCUCUACUAUCUUUCAGAAUUUUUUGCUCCUUUGCAUAUUCGGUUGUUUGUAGUUCAAUUCAGUACUUCAUUAAAUCAAUAUAGUUGUUUGGUUGGUUAGUUGUUCCUUGAUUGUUCCAUUGGUGCUUUCAUCCGGAGCUCUUUUUGAUGGGGGACCAAAAAGAACUCAAGGCUCUAGUAGAUGAAUCUGUAAGGGAAGCGACAGAUUCCUUUUCCAAGGAACUAGCUGAAAUCCGUGGUAUGUUACUGGAAGUGGUGGGUAAACAAGUGUAUGAUCCAACAAUGGCAAUUGCAUGACAAGAUAACACACCGGCGGCACCCACUCUCCGGCACAAACCAGCUCCAGUGGAAUUUGGACGGUUUCGCGGCGAGAACCCGGAUGCUUGGGUAUUCCAAGCAGAGCGUUACUUUGAUUUUUAUAAGAUUGAAGAUUCACAAAAACUUACGAUAACAUCCUUUUAUCUCGAUGGAGAGGCACUAGAGUGGUAUCGAUGGUUGUUUCGGAACAAACAAUUAAUUGGAUGGGACCAUUUUGUUGAGAAGGCGAGGAUUCAUUUCAAGCCGAAGGGUCUCGAAUCUGCUGAGGGUUUUCUCGCAAAGAUCGGGAAGGUGACCACCGUAUCGGAAUUACAGGGACGAUUUGAAGUUAUUGCCAACGAGACAAAGGAUGUCUUAGAGGGUCUGAUGGUAAGGUUCUUUAUUUCUGGGCUUAGGGAAGACAUAAAGAAUUCGGUUCUCAAUCACGAGCCCAAAACAUAAAAGGGCACACUUAAGUGGGCCUAUAUCCAUGAGCGCAGGAUCCAGGCAGAAAAAGGUCCAGUUCGACCCGCUUUUGCUAACAAAGGGGCGCCGCUUUUGCCUAGCCCUAUCAAAAUAUCUCAUCCUCCUUCAUUCCAACCACAUCGACAAUCAAGCUCCGAAUCGACCACCCCUCAAACGUCUUACUCAUGCUGAGAUCCAGAGCCGACGUGAGCGCGGCUUAUGCUACUAUUGUGAGGAAAAAUACACUGCAGGCUACAAGUGUAAAUCUCCACCUUAGCUUCUUCUUCUUACAGAUGGGUCUGAUGUUGAACCUUCUUUGCCGGAGCCUUUUGUCUCUGACGAUCUUUUGGUUGAGGAACUGCAAGUUUUGGAGGUCCAAGAGCAGUCUGCUAUUUCAUAUCACGCUUUGGCUGGUGGAAAUUCCUCUUCCACAUUACGAUUUAUUGGCCAUGUGAACGGGUCUCCAGUCCAAGUUUUGCUGGACGGAGGGAGCGAUCAUAAUUUUGUUCAGGCGCGAGUGGUUAAGUUUUUGGAGCUUAAGGUGGAUUCAACUCCCAACUUCUCUGUUAUGGUAGGCAGUGGUCAACGACUCCGUUGCGAAGGCGUUGUAAGGCAAGUACCUCUCACGAUUCAGGGGUGUAAUCUAAUACUUAAUCUAUAUGUGCUCCCUAUACAUGGUGCUGACAUAGUUCUUGGAGGUGCGUGGCUCUCUACUCUGGGAAGGGUGUUACAAGAUUAUGCUGAGCAUUUAUUUGAGUUCACUUUACAAGGAAAAACUAUCAGUUGGAAAGGGGACAUUCCGAACAAUGCAUUGCCGUUUCAAUUUGUGCAAAAUGAGGUCUCAGCCGAUAAGCACACUAAUCCAGACCUGGUUUCUAUUCUAGAAAAUUUUCCGAUGUUUUCUUGAAACCACAGGGAUUACCACCUUCCCGGUCCCAAGAACAUGCGAUUUAUUUAAACCCUAGGGCUGAACCAGUUAAUGUUAAGCCUUACCGCUAUCCCUACUUCCAAAAACAGGUCAUGGAACAGUUAGUUGCAGAUAUGCUCAAGGGUGGGAUUAUCAGGCCUAGCACGAGUCCAUUUUCCUCUCCGGUGUUAUUAGUCUGAAAGAAGGAUGGUACAUGGAGAUUUUGCGUGGAUUAUAGGUCCCUAAAUGCCAUUACUGUAAGGGACAGGUUCUCUAUUCCCACCAUUGAUGAGUUAUUCGACAAGUUACAUGGUGUCGUUUAUUUUUCGAAGCUUGACUUACUGUCCGGAUACCAUCAGAUCAGGGUCCGAACUGAAGAUGUAGCCAAAAUAGCGUUUAGAACACACGAUGGACAUUAUGAAUUCUUAGUUAUGCCGAUUGGUUUGUCCAAUGCUCCAUCAACAUUUCAGGCGACAAUGAAUGAGAUCUUCAGGCCUUAUCUUCGGCGUUUCGUGUUGGUUUUCUUCGAUGAUCUCUUAGUCUAUAGCCCCACUUGGUCAGAUCACCUUGUCCAUUUACGAUCAGUGUUAGGGGUACUACGAAAACAUCAGUUGGUGGCCAAGAAGACCAAAUGCUUAUUUGGUCAAACUUCAGUAGAGUAUCUGGGACAUGUGAUAUCGUCACAGGGCCUCAGUGUAGAUUCAAGCAAAAUUACAACUAUCCAGCAAUGGCCUCCGCCCAAAAAUAUUAAGAAAAUGCGCAGAUUUCUAGGGCUCGCGGGUUAUUAUCGCAGCUUCAUUCAUCAUUAUGCAACCAUUGCAGGACCUCUUACUGAUUUGCUGCGCAAGGAUUCAUUUGUGUGGGGUUCUUCUGCCCAAUCUUCCUUUGAUACUUUAAAGGCUAAGCUUAGCACAACUCUUGUUCUUGCAUUGCCGGAUUUCUCCCAAGAGUUUCAACUGGAAACUGACUCAUCUGGUCGCGGUAUAGGGGUUUCUUAUCUCAGAGAGGGCACCUAAUAGCCUAUUUUUGCCAGAAGUUGAGCACAAGAAUGUAGGGGGCAUCCACCUAUCAUAGGGAGAUGUUUGCCAUUACUCAAGCUGUGAGUAAAUGGAGACAAUACUUAUUGGGGAGCAAGUUCACUAUAUACACUGACCAGCAUUCACUUAAAAACUUGACCAAUCAAACCAUACAAACGCCUGAACAACAAAAGUGGCUUAGCAAGUUAGUAGGGUACGACUUUCAUAUUAUCUACCGCCCAUGGAAAUUGAAUCAAGUUGUUGAUGCGCUCUCUCGCCCUUCUGAGGUUGUCUUGCUGGCCAUUUCUUCCAGAAGUUAUGAGCUUGAGCAAGAGCUAAAGUCUCUCGAUCAAACACAUCCUGAGUUGCUUGCUAUACAAAAGCAAUUAGAGAAACAACCUAACACCUGCUCGGGCUAUGUGUUUCGUGAUGGACUCUUAUUUUUCAAGGACGAUUGGUCAUUCCCUUUGAUUCGCCACUUCGUCAGCAUUUGCUACAUGAAUUUCAUGACACUGCUAUUGGAGGACACGCUGGAGUAGCUCGUACUUAUCAUAGGCUGGCUUCCAAUUUUUAUUGGAAGCAAAUGAGGCGUGGUGUCCAUAGUUUUGUUGUGUCCUGUCAAGCAUGCCAACAGAUGAAGGAUGUGCAUCACCAUCCGGUGGGGUUAUUACAACCAUUGCCAAUUCCUGAUUUGGUAUUUGAAGAUAUUGCAAUGGAUUUUAUCACUUUCCUACCGAGCUCAAACGGAAAGUCUACUAUAAUGACGGUGGUUGAUCGAUUAACAAAGUAUGGUCACUUCAUUCCUUUGCCUUCCACUUUUUCCACACAAACAGUUGCUGAAGCCUUUGUGGUGGGAAUUAUUCGUCUUCAUGGGCCUCCAAGGACCAUAGUUACUGAUCGUGAUCCUCGGUUCUUGCAUGCCUUUUGGCAGGAGAUCAAUCGAUUGCAGGGAACUUCUUGGCCAUGAGUACUGCUUACCAUCCACAAAUCGAUGGGCAGUCUGAGGCCCUCAAUAAAUGGGUGGAACAAUAUCUUCGAUGCUAUGUUGUUGAUUUGCCACAUAAGUGGGUUUCGAUGUUGCCUUGGGCAAAGUACUGGUACAACACUUCUUACCACUUCUGCUGGUAUGUCUCCCUUUCAAGCUCUUUAUGGGAGAGCACCUCCUAAUAUAACUCGUUACAUUAGAGGUAGUAGUCCUAGUGAGUUGGUGGAAAAUUAUUUCGUGGACAGGGAUGAAAUUUUGGCAUUACUGAAGCUCAAUCUGAUCAAGGCACAGACUCGUAUGAAGAAGUUGGCUGACAAGCAUCGUAUUGAGCUUGAGUUUGCCAUGGGGGAUUGGGUGUUUGUCAAGCUUAUAUCGUCAGAAGAACCAGCUCAACAGAUUACCCCAUUAUGACUGUCGGAUUUCGCUGAGCCUGGGAUUGAGCCGUCCCAGAACCUUGAGGACAAGGUUCUUUCACAGGGCGGAGGUAUUGUUAUGAAUGAUAAUAGUGACAUAGAGGACAUCAGGGAUGACACGUUGGAUAAGAAUAAUCCUACUCAGCCUAGAAAAAGUACUCCUGUGAAGAUGCCAUCUAGAAGAUUAAUUGAUUUUGUGGUGGGUCCAGGCUAACAGAAUGGGCUGAGGGAGUGCGCGUGCUAUGCGACGUUUGGAGCAUAAGGAAUCUGUUAAAAGUCACUGUUGCUGGGCAUAACAGUUUUAGGCUAGUGUUGCAUUGUAUUUCUGCUUCUCAUCUAUUCCGCUGCUUUUCUCCUCUCAUCUCCUCUCUACUAUCUUUCAGUAUUUUUUGCUCCUUUGCAUAUUCAGUUGUUUGUAGUUCAGUUUAGUACUUCAUUAAAUCAAUAUAUAUAGUUGUUUGGUUGGUUAGUUGUUCCUUGAUUGUUCCAUACGAUGCCAGGCAUAAUCAACAGAACAUAACUUGUUACGUAGUAUAUAAUUGGGGGCUAUAUGGAACUACAUGAUGCAAAUUGAUACAUCAUUUCAGAAAGCGGAAAUAACGGCUUUCAAUUGACAAGUCACAUGCAUGUGAGCAGUUAUUUCCGCAUAGGCAAACAAUUAUUUGAACGUCAGUGACAGUUGCACCAAAAAUAGUAAUCUUCAGGCAAAUACUUGUAAGGACGUGCAAUUUGCAGAUAACUGCAAUGGAUAUAUGAAAAAAUUAAGCAGGUGAGGGCAGGCAUGGGAGUUGCAAUUUGAUACAUAUAUAUAAAAGAAUUUUUUUUCAUAUUCAAAUAAUUACAUAAAUUAAGGACGGCAACAUCAAUCUUUUACGGAAUCUUUUAGGGCCCAAGAUGUUACAUAUUUGGUCUAUGUUUUGACACAAACAUCAAUGAGAUCUUUACGCAAGUAGCAUUUAUUGACUGUGUUAUAAUUCCAUUAGUUAUGAAAUAUGAUUUGCGUUGUGAAAAUCACCUAUACACCUUUCUAAAUUGGGCUUAUAUAUACCUUAGAGUCAGAAGAAAUCAGCAUUUGCAUCAGCUUUGAAUGCACAAAGUUUAAGGAUAUAUCUUCAUAGGUACCAGGUUUGUUAAAUCAUUAAAACUUCUUAACAGAACUUAUUAUGUUUAGACAUCACUAAAUGCCUUAAAUCAAGAUGGAUCCCCGGAGUUAUCGUAUCACUUAUACAAUCCAAGUUGUCUGGUGACUAGUCUUAAGGGGGGUUCCUGUGCUCUUCAAUUAUGAGGAAGUAGUAGGACCUGUUGUUUUUCUUCAGCAAGUAUUUGGUCUAAGUACUUUGACAAUUAAUGAAUUGGAAAGCAAAUCCAUAUGAUGUUUCAUUUGCAAUUGUCUCUCAACAGCUCCCACUGAAUUCCUCCCCAGCAUUAAACAUCUGGAUAUGCAUUAGAAUUGUUGACUUCGCGUUUAAGUAGAACUUGAGUGGGAGUAUGAAAAUAUUGUUUUCAUUAUCAAUGUUGUCAAACAGUAAUAAAGAUUUUCCUUAUUUGUUUUUGGCGCUUUUGAGGAGCUAGAAACAGUUAUUCUCCCAGAAAAGAAGAAUUUCAUUGGGUUUAACCCCCUUUAAGGCUACAGAAUAUAGAAAUAGGUGUACAUAAUUGGUCUAAGUUAAAGAGUAAAAUCCUUUAUCUUGGAAAAUUCAGUUCAAGAAAAAAAGGCAUCAUUAAAACUUAAACUUUGUGCUGGUAACUCCAACUUCAUUCUUUUCUGAUCACAGUUGUUAUUUUAGCUGAGCAAGAUUAGCACAAGAAUAGAUGACCUUCGUGUAUGUGAUGUGUUUUAAAUGCCAACAGAGUGGAAGUGUCAAUAGGGCGCGCAAAUGUUCUGCGCUAGUCCUACUAUUACCAAAUUAGUACCUUAGCAAUUUUGCAAACUGUUGUUAUGACGAGAAAGUUACUAAAUCAGUUCAAACUGGAUUGGGGAUCUCCAACUCACACCAAAAUUGGUGCAUUAUCAGAGAAAUUUGAGGGGGCUUUUAGUUGAUUGUUGAAAGCUUUUUAUAACCUGAGAUCAGUGUUUUGCUUUAUGAUUGCAGUGGACAGCUGAAGGUAUGUACAUAUUUGGUCUUAGGUUACUAAACCAUACAGGCCAUAGUGUUGGCUGUCUCUAAAUUCUUAGAAACCAAAGUUUGGUAUAUGAAUUUAGAUUCUCAAUUGAAAAAAGUGCUGUUCAAAGUCAACUCAUCAUUCGAUUUAUAAAAUUUGAUCAAUUCAAGGAGCGCUAUGCCAAUUGAUUUUCUUGACAAAUUUAAGCCAGCAUGUUAUUCUUGUGGAUUAGUACCAGUCCAUUAUCUUAGUAUCUUCACCAAAUUAGAGAUAAGCUUCUAUUUUCUUAAGCACUGAGGUCCACACAUACUCUGCAGUAGCACAACACAAGUAGCACACACUGGUUGGUUUUGUUCUUCUUUGACCAGAAACAUUGCAGGUCCUAUGACCUUCUUAUUGAUUUAUGAAACUGGAAAAAUUAUUCUAACUUUAUCCAAUUCUCUAUUAUUAUUUCCAUUCAUAAAUCAUUCUAAUUUGACCAUUUCAUAAAGUACUCAACUGAAGCACCACUUGGAAACAUAAGAUUUAGUUUUUGGUCAUAAGAACCAACUUGUAUCCUGAGCCAUCGCUUUAGCACUAUGGACGAUCAGAUUUUUUUUCUAAAAUUCUCAGGAUAUGCCCCCUCACAGAUUCAGAUUUCAUGAUUAGUCAUUGGAAUAGAGACCACAAUUUGUUGAUUAAACAUCAAGAAAUGGCUCCAGGUGGUCCCUAAGUAAACCAUUUUCAAGAAGAUGAGGUUUCCAUCUAUUAUUUGUUGUGAAUAUCAGUAGGACCUUCUGGUUUAGACUAAUUCCAUAGUCUAGAUGGUAUGGUAAUGAGUUGGAAGGCAAAGCCAUGUGAUGCUUCAGGUGCUAUUGUCUUAAGCUGGUGCCCACAAAAUGCCUAUUCAAUGCACAUUAGUAGGAUUCUACAACUUGUCAUUGGCCUAUUUAAACACAUACAAAGAAGGAUUUAGCAUAACAGCUCUCAGCAAAACUAGCAACCAUACAAAGCUUUUCUCUGCUUUCAGGGUCUUUACUACUUAUUCCCUUCCUUAUUUGUUCAUCUGUAUUGAACUAAACAACCAUGGCUAUCCGUAUGCCUCGUAUAAUCAAGAAGUCUUCUACAGCUGGAGAUGUUCCAAAGGGACAUUUUGUUGUUUAUGUUGGGGAGAAGCAAAAGAAGAGAUUUGUGAUCCCAUUAUCAUUCUUGAGUCAACCGGCAUUUCAAGACUUGCUUAGCCAAGCUGAGGAAGAAUCUGGCUUCGAUCAUCCAAUGGGUGGUCUCACAAUUCCCUGUAGCGAGGAUGUGUUCGUUGAUCUUACUUCUCGCUUCUGUAGGAUCUGAGUCUUUUUCUUUCACAGUUUUGUAAAGAACUAACCUGGAUUUCCAGUUUGUACAUUAGAAGAUUUAGGAAAAGACACCAUUUAUACGAUAUCACUGGAAAUUAGAUAGAGGGGGCUACUGUUAGUUGCAACAGUAGAGCCCAAUUGAAUGAAAUUUUGUAAAAGCCAAGCAUCAUAUUCUUUAGCAAAUGAAGUAUGUUCAGAUCCA